rnacentral:lncRNA from 1 species
UCAGUCAAGGCAUUGUUUACCACUGGCUGACAGCCUUACAGAUAAAGUGGACUGGAAUUCCGUUCCUGUGGAGUAAUAGGGAAUUAAAGUGAAUAAGCAGAAUUGCAUGAAACAGUAUUGGAUGAACACUACACUGGUCACCGUCAAAGAGAGAAUUUGUGAAUUAGAAGAUGAUUCUGAUGAAUUCAUUCAGAACACAGCUCAAAGAGAUGGAGAUAAAAGUCCAGUGGGAAGCAUAGAAGGUAGGUUGAAAUGUCUAGUCAUUUCAGCAAAAGAUUUGGUGACUAGGGGAGAACUAAUAGGUAAAGAAGAAAUGGCUAGAAAUUUUUGAGAACUGGAGAAGGUCAUGAAUCCUGAGAUGCUUUUCUUCUGCACAUACCGUGUCCAGGAAAGAAUAAAAAGCAACAAAACACAAAAUAACUACAACAUAAAUCCUGGUUAUUGCAUAGUGAAACCAAGAACACAAAGGCUAAGGAGAUUCUUAAACCGAAUGUGUUGGGGUUAGGGAGUAGGAUAGGGACUUAUCUUCAGAUACCUGAAGAGUUGUGUCUUGGAAGAAGAUUGAGUUAGAGUUCCUCUGAGUACCUUGGAGAGUGACCCGGGACAGCAGUGGAGAUCACAGGGAAACAGAUUGGCUAUACAGAAGAACUCUCUAGUAACAAGGGCUCUCCAGCAUGAACAGCCUGCCUUAAAAUGAGGAAGUGAGUUCUCUAUCAUUAAAAGGUUUCCUUCCCGCACAGAAUCCCCUGUCCUAAAGGGCUUUGGAAGGAAGAUAGGCAGUCUGGGGAGGAACUGGAGGGCUGGGGUCUGGGCUAUUUGGGCAACUUAAACACUGUGGGAAAUAUGCUCUGAAGAAUUCAGGAAGGCAGAGAAAAGAAUCAUAUCCAAACGGAAAAUGUGAUUUUACCUGUGUAGUGAUGUGUGUGGGUCUGUCCUCUUGCUUAUUGUUUUUGAAACAAAUUGUAUAUCUUUCUUCAGAUUCCACUCCACUAGGGUCAUCAGUUUUAUUCUUCAUUGUUUAUUUUCUAUCUAUAUCUUUUAGCUGAGCUAUUCACUGGUCCUAAAAUGCCCAGCCCCAUCACCUCUUCCUGAAAAGGAUAGACAGCUUAACUUAUCAGCAACUUCUACAUAUGAAAGGUUUCCUGGGAGAUGCCUAUUUCUGAGCCCUCAUCCCUUAACUCCUUGACAUAGAAGACAAAGAGAAUAACUCACCUAAAAUCAUGACAGCUCAGAUCAGUAGAUGUUUUUGGGUUUUACAAGGCUCUUUCUUGUACACUAACCUUGUUUAAUUUUCACAACAAAAGUAAAACAGAUUCAUUUAUCUCCCGAAAUCAAGGAUCGGGGAGGUUAUACAACUUGUCCAAGGACAAAAAAACAAAAGUCAGCAACAAAUCACCCUAGGCUGCAAAUCAGGAGAUGGUUCCAAUGUUCCAAGUUGUCCCUUGGAAGGAGAUUUUUAUCUACUAGGCAUUAUGCCUUAUCUGCCUGGACCCCUGUGCUGUACUGAGUGGGCACUGUGUGUCUGUAGCACAGCCCGGAUGAUACUCAGGGGGAUAUUUCUACAGAACCAUGGCUAAGGACAGUCAUACUAACAGGCAUUCUGUAAAUGAUAUUGUUGAAUUAGGAUUCCAGUUCAGACUUCCAUGGGCUCAGUAGACCACCAAUGUGCUCGUGGAGGAGAGCAAUCAGUAUCUUGCUCUCCUGGUUUCUCUCUUGGCUCAAGUAGCUCUGCCUUCCUAGUUUUUUAACACACCAAGCCCUGUCUUGCCUCGAGCCUGAAACUCCUCUACUUUCUCACUCCUUCAGGGCUCCCUCAAACAAUGUCUUGGGUCAACCUGUCUCCAAUCCCCACCCAUCCCAGUACUCUACUGCCCCUCUCUAUUUUAUUCCCUCCUCUGGCAUUUAGGAUAUGAGAUAUUUUCCCUGAUUUAUGGGUUGUCUGCCUCUCUGACCAGCAUAUAAGAUAUUUGAGGACAAGGGUUUUUAUGUUUUUGUUUCCUACAGACUCCCCAGCACCUCAAAUAGUGCCACCUUGUAUUAAUGCUUAAGAUAUAUGCAAUGCAUGAGGGAAUGCAUCCAUUUAUAAUGUUUCUGUGGACUUCCAGAUGCAAACAACUAACACACAAGUUGACUUUUGCAACAUAAGUCAGAUCAACUAAGGAAAUUCUGGACAUGUUUUGAGGGUUAAUAAUGAAAUAUAGAAGCCAUUUUUACUAAAUUUCAACUUGGUGUUGCCUAAGAUCAAGUAAGCACAGGGGAGGAGGGCAUUCAAACUUUGAAAUGCAGGAAAGAGAUUCACAGAGCCCUCUUAGUUAGCUUGAGGCUCUGUGAGGACAGACUGGGGUUGUUGAAGGCAGGUGUCUGUAACUGAAAAAGAGAAAAACAUAUCCAGAGAGAGAGAAAAAAAACCAAACUAUCAACCGUGGAUGCGGAGACUCUACUUGGAGUCUAAGGCUGCACUGGGCACUGUGAACUAGAAAAAGUCUCUCAUAUGAUUCCAAGGAGUUAAAACUUGUGGGUAGGGAGAGGUAAUUUUAAGGGAGGUCAGUGAAAUGCUAAACAGUUGCGAUAGGAGUUACAGAAGGAAGAGCUAGCUCAGCAGUCUGGAGUGUUCCAAGAGGGUUUUUUGGAGAACGAGGUCCUACAGCUGACCUUUAAAGAGGAGAGGGCCCUCUUGCCCCCAGAGGAAGGGAGUGCAUAUCCCAGUCUGCACCGGCAGCUCCUGUACCUCACACACAGGGACCAGGCACUAUAGCACAGAGCCCUGUGCUAGCAAAUCUAAAAAUACUCACCCUCUCUAUUUUUUUACUUUCCCUCCUCUCCUGGACACUUACUUUUCUUCUCACCCUCCUUCCUAUUUUCUUCCUUCUCUGAUUAUCCUUUCUGGCAACUGCUGGACUCCUUUGCUCAUCCCUCCCUCCAAGGGAAUCUGUGAUCAGCUGGGGGGCCAAAACCUUGCUGGACUCCCCAACAUUCAGGUACAGGUUGGCAGAGGCUCCAAAGGCCCCCCCCCCUCAGCUCAGUUAUUUCAAAUGCCAAUUAACAGGUGUCAGAAAAACUGGUCCCACUCAGAGACCUGCGUGUGCAUAACAACCCAACUGUUUUGGCUCUCCACCCCACGAGCAUAAAUAUCGUGGUGUUUGAGCCCUUGGGGCCUGUGGAGUUUACAAGUAUGCUGUCAAGAUCUCUCCACUGGGCUGGCGCUUGAAGUGCUGCCAAGAAGCGAGGGGACUCCUGUGCUUUUAUGUGUUCCCAAGCGCAGGCCGCCCUGGCUCCAGGAGGAGCCCUCUGGGGACCCAGCGUCGGUGUGAAUCUCAAACAGCAAGCUGACAUUCCGGUUGGGAGUGUGACAGUGCAUGCCUGGGUGAUGAUGCCAGAGCGGCAGGUGACACGGGUCCACCGCAGAGGGGGAGAGUAACUGGAGUGGCUUCCAGUUACAUGUCCUCAGAGCUCUGAAGGAUGGAAUCAGGGUCUGGGGAACAGUUAUAAAAUGAAGCUACAAAAUCCGGAUGUCCCAGUCAAAUUGGGACCACUGAGAUGGGGCAUUCAGAGUGCAGAUGAUACCCAUGUUCCUGAAAAAGGCACUUGACUUGGGCUGAUCUGGGGUCAAUGACAUUGCAAGCCAGAGACACAGACCACGGUCAACCAGUGAAAACACACACAGAUGCACACUAACACAGAGCCCAUCAGGACACAGAGGGCGAGGAGGCAUUCAUCCUGUGUGCCCUAGAAGCCUCCAGAAGCAAUCUCACUCUCAGGGUACCUCCCUGCCCCCAGGUCUCCCCAUGACUGUCCUCCUCUGGGUAAACAUCUGAAAACAGAGCGGCUGCCAGGGAGCAGAAAGAAGAGGAGAGGGUGGAAUGGGACGGGGUGGGGCAUGGCGACAGGAAGAGCUCAAAAGAUUCUCAGGUUGGGUGACGACCAAGGUUGGCUUGUCCCAGAGGGCAGUUGGGCCCCAGCCUGGCGGGCGGUGGGGUUGCAAGCGUAAGGCAGGCUCCUGCCAGUUGGGGAAGCAUUGCCUGGCCACUACUACCCCCCACCCCCCACCCCCGCUGGCUCUGCAGAGUGUUCAGGUCCAGGAGAAUUUGCUGGACCUUUUCUGAGAUAGCUUCCACCCCACCAAGAACCACAUCAAAGGGCUUGAACGUAUUUCCCUCGUCUACCUUGUGGUCUGCAAAGAAAGCUGGGAAAAAUCCACAUUAAGUGGCCUGACUGGCCAGGGCGGGGGUGCGCUUCUUUGAGGACCCCCUUGGGGUAAGCCUGGUUAUGCUUUUGUGAUCAUUAUUCUAGAAACACCAAAUGGAAAGGCAGACCGCCUUCCUGAGUUCCCUAGUUCUUUUUCCCAUUUUUCAUAGAAGCCCAGAAUAUUCUAGAUUUUGUAUUUCUGGGGUCAAAAGCCCAAGGAGAGGCACUGAAAUAUACAAAAUCACAUACUUUGUUUUGGUGGUUCCUAAUAUUAUUCCAGCUGUGUUAUUUCUUAUUUUCUCAGUCGUAUUCAUAUCAUGUAAAUUUAUGGAGAUAAUAAUUUGCCAUAAGCAAAUGUGUCCUUGGGAAUAUCCCCCAACCACCACUACCCCAGUUAGCUUAUGAACUCUUUAGCAGCAGAGGGGAUGGCCUCUGUCACUUUGCUGCCUGGUCUGAUAUAACCUUGCGGGUCUCUGCACAGGGCCUACUCGUGCUUCUGCCCCGCUUUGAGGGGCAAAUAGAGUCCACACAGAUUUGAGCCGUCCUGAGAAAUGCCAGGGGAGCCUAACACCAAUCCCAAAGAAGACGCAGAAUCCUGCCCCUCCACUGUCAGAAUUUGGAAGAAGUUUCUACCCUUUAAGCGAAAGUCAGAUGCUGCAAAGGUGAAAUAGGAAGCUUUCAAAAGGAUGAAGUCAGUUCUCUUAGAAGGAAAUCUUGUUGGAUGGAAACAAAAAACAAAUGAUGUUACCUCAAUCAAAAGUCAUUUAUUUCUCUGCUGCAUGAUGAUGGCCUGAGGCUCUGAGCUGUCAGUUCUGAAGGCCGUGUAGGUUUUAGAAGGUGGUUGUUGGGGUCAUUUUUACUGGACAGUGCAUGGCCUCAAGAUGGCCAGAGAGGAAUUUCAGAGCCUCAAAUCGUCUCUCUGUUUUGGGAGGACGCUCUGGGCAGACAUUUCGCUGAUCAUAAUCACUUUUAUAUGUAACUGGACCUUAAUUCAUUUGGUAGUUCGAGCUACGGAAGGGCGGCACAGAUUAGAGAGCUAUGUCUGUAACUGACGAAAUCUGCGCCUGGUGUGCGUUUGUGGGGAAAUUAAAAAUAAAAUAAAGCUCAUCUGAAAAAUGUGCGGACUCGAAUUAGCUGUCUCCUGACCAGUCACGCAUGGAACUUGUCGGAGAUGACCAGGACAGAAAAGUGAGACCAGGGCAGCUCAUCAGGCUGCGCCGCCCGCCAGGCUGGAGAGCCUGUCAUAAUUUAUAAUGGAUUAUCUUAGGAAAUAGAUGAGGACAGCUUGUGUUCAGGAGCCAGGAAAAACUAGUUAAAAAAAAAUCCCAGAAAACAAGUCUUAAAAAUGAGCUAUCCUCUUAUACUCUGCAAGGAUGCCUUUUGAUUUGAAUUAACUCAUCAAAUCCUCUGCUGUAAAUGUGACUGACGUUUGAUGGGAACUAACAUCACCAGGUAGACUAAAUGGACCCCCUUAUUAAUACUGGUGUUGGGGUCCAUGUUUGCACCCCUUGCCCUGAGGUGCCUAUCCAGAUGCAUUGGAAUUUUUGUAUUUUAUAUUCUGAGUUUCAAAGAUGGGCUCACACACACACACACACACACACACACACAAAGGUAUUUUCCUGCUGUGAUUGCUCUUUUUUGUGCUGCCCUUGAUGCCCACUUUGUUUUUCUCAACUCUGAUUGCGCUGGACCAACUACUUUUGCUUACAUCAAUUCUGCUGUUCACUUUCACAGAGUCCCUUUGAGGUCCUGUCAUUCUGCUGAUUGUACCAAUGAGGUCAUUGCCAAGGAGAGAUUACAGGGCUGGCCAAGGUCUGUCAUCUAGCAAGUGGCCUGGCUGGACUUUGAACCCAAAUCUCUGUGGCUUCAAGCCUGGGCCUGUCGACCCAGUCCAGGUUUAAUCAGCACCCAACUGUAGCUGGGCAGGGUGAAGAGUUCUGAUGUGACGGUGGGCUAAAUCUCCAUCCCUAGCUUAUCUAACCUCCAUCUUAAAUUUAAGCUUCUUUCCCUGAAACCAUUAUGAAAGGGAAAAAAAAUGCACUUCAAACUUUCAAAGGUAAUUGCAAUUAAAUAACUUGGUUUCCAUUGUCAGCCUGGUUUCUCUGCCUUAGUGGAAAGUCUAAUGGGAUGCUUUACAAGGCUGACAAAGACAGAUAAUAAAAGUCGAACUUGUGCACAAAGCUUCCUUGAAAGCUUGGUAAUUAACGGCUUUGCAUUGUUCUUUAAUAACAGCCACCUUCUUAAUGCAUCGGAAUAAAGGCACAAACUCUGAAAUAUAUUUGCAUUUCAGCCACCCAGCUUGUGAACACAGGCUCCAGUUUUUCAUUCAGAGGAAUUGCACUUCAACCUUUGCAUAAAGAAAGACCAAAGGUAGCUCUUUCUGCCCAAAUGCUGGCAAUAUCUAAAUGUUUCAUACAUGGGAGAGUAGAUAUUAACCUUUGCAUCUGUUUCAGAGGAGGCUGGGUCUUAUAAGGACAGGCUGACAAGAAGCCUGGAUGUGAAAUAGAGUCAUGACCUUCCUGCAUGAAAUGCCUGUAUCCCACCCACAACAGUAGGUCCUAGAGUGGUGUGUGUGUGUGCACAUGCGUGCACACUCAUGAACAUAAUCCCAUGUGUUCCUUUACAAUUCCUAUGUAGACUAUGAAGUAGAGGAAGUGGGAGACCAUGUGCUCUUGAGAAAUUUCCAAAACAACGUAUUUCCAAAGAAAUUUAACUGCUGCCUGGUGCAGGUAUUUUGCCACAAAGUGAGAGGAAAAGGUACAAACUUUAUUUAACAGCUGCCUACUACGUGCCAGACACCAUGCUAGGCACAGUCUCAAAUCUUUUUAAUCCUUGUCACAACCCUCUGAAGUAUUAUUCUCUUUUUAGAGAUGAGGAAAUUGAAGCUUAGAGAGGUUAGGUUACUUGCCAAGCAUUACAUAACCAUUAGACAGCCUAAGAUUCAAAUCCACAUUUAUCGGAAUCCCAGAUUGAACUCUUUGUCCCCUGUUAAAAUGUGACUGUCCCUGAGAAAGGUGGCACACGAAAUCCUAUCAGUCGCUCACACUGUAGUGCAAUGGAUUUGUCCUAUCCUUUCCAAGAAAGUUUUGACUACAAAGCCGAAAGUUCUAGAUUCCACAAAGGGGAAGACAGAGUGCAAGAGAGGAGGGUGAUGACAAAGACCACAUCAAACACUCUCCAAUUUCAUCCAGCCCUACGUGUCACCAGCAGCCUGAGAGCAAGAAAAAGGGGCAAGGGAAGAUGUAAAGAACAGUCUUCCUCAACUUCUAUUCUGAAAGGAUGGGGAAGAAAGGAAAUGCUGCUCUGUUCCAAGGGCGCUCAUGUAGAAGAAGGGAGGAAGGGCGUUAUUUUAAUUUAGCCUAGCACAAUUCUAGAGGCAAGAGCAACUGGCCUGAGUUAGGUUGCAGCACAGGUGCAUUGUCUAUGGGCAGAGUGAGUCUAGGACUGAGUUAUUCCUCCCGCCCUUUCCACAGCAGGUCUGCUCGGUCUGAGCUCCUGGCCCCUGGAGUGCAGUGCUGUGGGUAACAGCAGAGCUGUGGCUACGUGGCCUUCAGCAUGCUACUUACCCUUCCUGCUUCUUCCCUUGUGAAGUAAAAAUCAUCAUGCCUGCUUCCUGGGAUCACUGUAAGAACAAGAUAGGACAGUGUACUAACAGCACUCCGUGAAUGGUAACAAGGCUACUGUGUGAUUGCCAUCAGGGUGGGGAAUUUGAUACAAAAGGGGUCAAGUUGACUAUAGUCAUGGAUAGAGCUUUCAGUGGCCACAUGGCAUGAACUUAUGGAUAGUGGGAAGAACUCUCAGCUCCAAAGUAUCUUCUUUAUCCCAAAGCCUUACUGACAUUCUGUGCCUGGGAUAUAUUCCUUUGACAACCACUCCAAACAUCCUCUUAUUAAUUCCUUUGAUGGUAACACAAUAAAUUGGUAUGGUUGCCUAUUGGGAUGGGGGGUUACACGUUAAAACAACACUAAUGCUCAGGCCUCACCCCAGAUGCCCCCGAAAUUAGGAUCAUGAGGAAGAACCUAAGCAUUAAAGAUAAACUUUUUUUCUUAUUUUUCCCCCUGGUCCAAUUAUUCACCUUGAUUUUAUUUAUUUUAUUUAUUUUAUUUGUUCUGUAUAGUGAUACAUGACAGUAGAAUGUAUUUUGACAUAUCAUAUAUACCUGGAGUAUAUCUUGCCAUUCUUGUGGUUGUACAUGAUAUGGAGUUACACUGGUCGUAUAUUCAUAUAUGAACAUAGGAAAGUUAUGUCUGAUUCAUUCUACUGUUAAGGAUGAACUUUUCAAGUAUUCCUGUUGUGUAGCCGGCAUUAAACUGUUGUGUCCCACUAAAACAUAAGCCCCAGCAGGUCAAGAACUACUGCAUGCUGUCCCCAAGCUGACCACUGCUUUUGGCACACACAAAAAUAUUUAACCUACAAAUUUGUUGUUGCUUUUGUUGUUGGAAAAAAAAAAUAAAGGUAUUGGUGAUUUUAAACUCUUCGAUGAGAGCCAGAGAUAAGGUAGGGACAAGAGGCUGAAAGGUAUAAGGGGGGGGGGGAGCUCUAGGGUAUUACAGACAAACAAAUCACACUUCUUAGAAAAUCCAGCUGCUGGUGGCUCUAAUGCCAUUUCUAACAGGAAAGGACAGAGCUGUCAGAAGGAUGGGCAGAGCCUACACUAGGACUGAGAACAUUCUUCUUCAAGUUUCUAGAAGAAACAGAAUACAAAGAAAAGUUUCAAUUCAAUGAUUUUAAAAAUCUUUCUGGCAGUUGGAGGGGAGGGAAAGCACAUGCUGUGAGAUUGGGUGAAGCUCGAGCUUCACAUCUCACACCUGUCAUUAAUUACCUGUAUGGCCUCAUGGAAGAAGGCAGAAUGUCUUUUCCUGUAUUUCAUUUAAGGCAUCUCAGUUUCCACAUGUAUAAAAGCAACAAUAUUAUUAUCCCCCUCCCAGGGGAGGUAACGAAUACUGGGUGAAUCUGCAAGCACAUAGUAGGUGAUCGGUGCUUAUUAUUUUCUCCCCUACCCUCUCCUUUCUUUCCUCCUUCCCCUCCUGUCAAACAAGGCCAUCCGCUCCUCUAGACGUCAAAGCCUUUUCAACAAUGAGGUAUCAAAUGUGAUUUCUGUAUUUGGAAUGCAAAUGUUUAUGGGAAUACUAUAAUGAGGUGAGGUGAGUGCGCAAAUCCUCAAAGUAGCAAGGAAGAAAUGGCCUACACGAGAGGCCCACCAUAGAUCAGCUCCCAGAGGGGUGGCCAGACCCCGAAAUCAGCUGAGUGGAAGUUGUGCUGGCCUUAGAAAACACAUGAGGAGAUUUCCUUCUCUUGCUGAGAUCUCAAAGAAUGUAAAUAACAUUGGAAUUGUCUCCUUUUUUAUAGGCUUGUUAGAAAUCCACUGUGACACCAUUUAGUCCUAAAAACAUUUUAGUAGAGAAUUUUAAUCACUUCCUUAAUGUCCUCAUACUAAACCUUCUCUACAAAUGUUGGAUCUGAUCCUGGGUUAUUUUGGAUACUUUACAUCUUUCUAGAAUUGUAUUCCAAUUUAACUAUGGGCUUUUAAGCUAUGCCUCUUUGCGUUAUCAUAGUGCUUAAGUGGCUGCUGUAUGUUUUAAGGUACAUAUAAUAAAUAUUUCACAGUCGUCAUGGAGUUAAUACUGUAUGUUGCAACUAUCUAAGUGAGUUUUCCCCCACUCUGUACUUUAUACUAUAGUCAUUGUAUCUAUUGCACCUAUAUGUUCGUUCUAAAGGACACAGUACAAAUUUGUAAUGCUUGCUUUAAAUAGUUUUGUCUUUUACAGAAAUUAGGACCAAAAAAUAUAUUUUCCAAGAUAUUUACAAUUUCUUAUGUUUCUCAUUAAUUCCUGAAGACCCAAGUUCACUUCCUGUAUAAUUUCCUUUCAGCCUAACAAACUAGUUUGUUCCUGAAGAACAGAUCUGCUGUGACAAAUUACCUUAGUUUACUUCUAGUCUCAAGACAUUUUGGGGGGCUGGGGUUGUGGCUCAGUGGUAGAGCACUUGCCUAGCAUGCGUGAGGCACUGGGUUCAAUUCUCAGCACCACAUACAAAUAAAUAAAAUAAAGGUCCACCAACAACUAAAAAAUAUUUUUUUAAAAAAACCUCUUUAAAAAAAUUUAAAAAACAUUCUUGUUUUACCUUCAUUCUCAAAGUAUACUCUCCCUGCAAACAGAGUUUUGGCUUGAUAAGUUACCAUUCUUUUGUCUUCUUAUCUCCAUAAUCUCUGGAGAAAGGACAGAAAUCAUCUGAAAAAUUAUCCCUUUGUAUGCAAUGUGUCAUUUUACCGGGAGUAGUGUUGAGAUUUUCUCUUCACCUUUAGUUUUCAGACAUUCAGUGUGCCUAGGCACAGUUUUCUUUGUAUUUAGCCUACAUGAAGUUAAUUGAGUUUAAGACAGACUUUUUCACUUUUGGUAAGUUUGGAAACACUUCAGACACUGUUUCUUCUAAUUUUUUUUUCUUUUGAGAUGCCCAUUCUCUCACUGCUCCCUUUGUGAAGCUCCAAAUCCACACAAACCAUUUGAUAAUUGCCAAAUAAGUUCUUGAGAAUCAUUUUUCUUUUUGAUUAUUUUUCUUUUAAUUCUUCAGAUUGUAUGAAUCCUAUUGCUGUAUCUUUUAAACUUACUGGUUUUCUUCUCUGUCAUUACCAUUUGACUCUGAAUCUCAUUCAUUAAGUUGUUUUUUCAAAUUUUUAAAUUUUCCAUUUUUAAGUUGUUUUUAAUUCUUUUCUGGGAUGUCCUAUCUUUUCAUUAAUUUUGAAUAUAUUUUCCUUUACAUCACUGAACACAUUUAUGGUCACCACUUUAAAUCUUUGUCUGCUAAUUCUAAUAUCUGAGAAUAUUAGGAUCCCUCUUUCUCUCAAGAAUGGGUCAUAUUUUCUUGUCUCUUUUUAUGUUCAGUAAUUUUGUGUGUCUUGAACACUGUAAUGAUAAGUUGUAGACAUUUUGCAUUUUGUUAUAUACCCCCAAUGACUGCAAGUGUUUUUAUUUUAGCAGGCCUUUAAUUUGGUUGGAUUCCAAUGAAAGACUCUAUCUCUUGGGUUGGAUCUCAAAUCUCAGUUCCAGUCUUUCCCUUAGUUGAGACUCCCAGAAUCUGCUCUAUGUAUGUAUAGUUUCGGGUUCAGCCAGAGGUUUGAGCAGAGUUUAUAUACAGAAUUUGGAGCCCUUCCCUUCUGGCUUUCUCCAAAGAUCUCCUUAAUUUUUGUGGCUAUGGCUAUUCUGAAUUCUCUGGUUCAGUAAGCCAAUAUACUUGAGGGUUUCUUUCAUAGUUUUUGAAACCCUCUAUGAUAUAGAUAUAUGAAUCCUGUUCUGGGAUUGAGAUGGGAGGAAGGGAGCUUGCCCCGUGCUGUUCCUUUCUUCUAAGGGUCAAUUCAGAAUCUGCCUCCAGAAUCUGCCUUUCCAGGGCCUUCAAGGAAUUGUAUUUUUGUCUAUAAUUCAUGAUUGGUCUAAUAAUAUCUCACUUGUCCUUAUUAUAAACAAAACCAGUGUUUUAUUUACUUUGAGUUUUCAACUUUGUUACCAAGGGCAGUUACCUUAUAAUGACUUUAAUUUUGUUGACACUGUAUACGCCUUUAUUCUCAUCCUUAACCAUUUCCCCCACUCUCUUUUAUUAAUUUAUUUUUUUUUAUGGUGCUGGAGAUCAAACCCAGUGUCAGAGGCAAGCACUCUACCACUGUGCUGCUGCCCAACCCCUCAUUCCUAAUCUUUUGGCAUCAUCUUUUAAAUUCAACCAGACUUGCAAAGAAUUUUAUUUUUCUUUAUCUUUUUUUUUCAUUUUUCCAUCUUGCAGACAUUUUCAAAGAACCCGUUCUAGAAUUCAUUUAUGCUUUUCUUCUCUAAUUGUUUCUUUUUAUUUUAACUUGCAAGGAAUUUUUCUAUUUUGUAAAUAUUCUCAAGUAACUUCUUUUAGAAUGCAUCUAUUAUUUUUUUCUAUCCAUUUCCUUUUAUUUUAGCAUACAUAUUUGUAAUUCUGGAAGGAAAAUUUAAGACAUAGUUGUGCAUUAGCAUUUGAACUGGAACAAUGAGAUAUAUACCAACAUUUUCAUCUUAAAUCAUCAAUGAAUGAGGAGAGAGAGGCAUGCUUAGGAAUACAGAGUGGCAGCAGGGGAAGAAGAACCCUCCUACCCACUCCCAAAAUCUGCUGCUCAUGGGCCACUUUAUCUGUAUCUUAGAAAAAUUUCCAUGUUUGGGCUAUUUUAUUGCUUUGAGGUUUACACACAUCCUGUUUUCUUAGGCCUACUUGAAGGACGUUCUUGAAGCAUUGAUGACAAGCAACUAUUUAUGACAUCAAAGGGUAAUAAGAACAUAAUCGAUGACACUGGGAGAAUGGAAAUGUUUCUCCAAGAUGAUGAAGCUGAAGCUGAAGCAUUCCCAAAUGUUAACAUGUCCAAGGAAUUGUCAUCAAAAUGACCCAUGGGACCAAGGCCUCUCCCUGUUUUACCCAAGCUGAAAAAAGCUGGGUUUUUGUUAGAUAACCUGGUUAUUGUUAGAUGGUAGCGAUGAAAUGUCACCGUGAAACUUAGCUGUAAGCAUUAGUACUGACCAGAUCACCCACCCUGGAAGGGACAACACAGAUGGGAGAAGAGACUCCCGGGUGGGUCAUUAAUAUGCCAGCUCCUCCUGAUUCCAACAAACAUUUGGGCCCCUCCCCAACUCACUUUCUGGGAGAUAUGCUCCCUCAGCUUUAGCCAAAUCAACUUAUUCAUUGCUUCUGGGACAUGGCCAUGGGUCCAGGCCACACCAAGAAUGUAACAUUUAGAAACUCACUAUGGUAAACAGCAUACCUCCCCACCCCACAAAGAAAGCCCACCAAGAAAGCCCAGAAAAGAUGCCAAGACAUGCUCUGGAGUGCGAGUGAAACAGCGAUCUGCAGGGCACAAGAAAGUCUAUUUCAUCAAGCAAAUGAUGGUUGACUAUACAACUUCAGUUAUUUGUCUAUGUGCUUUGCCUUCAAGAUUUGAAGCUCCUUAGAGUAAGGCUCAUGUUUUCUUCUAUUUUUUUUUCCCCACAAAAUUUAGCAUAGACUAUAUUGGAUGAAUAUCUCUUGAUUAACGAGCUGGGGAAUGCAGCUCAGUGGCAGAGUGUUACCUAAUGUGUGAGGCCCUGAGUUUAAUCCCCAGCACUAGAAAAACAAACAAAAAAUCCCUUGACUGAUGAAUUAAGAAAUAAAUACUUUUUGAUUCUGGACCAAGUUAACUUUUUCAUUUUUCAUAGUUAUCUCCAACUUUUCAUUAUUCCAUCUAUUCUAUUUUUCAUACUCAUUUCCAUCUUCUAACUCAUUUUCACCAUCUAAGUCAUUCCCACAAAUGGAACAAACCAGUCUUUCAGUUGCAAACUUCAGAGAGAAGACAGGAUGGAGAUGACAGCCAGACUGCGUUGUCUGAGAUCAAAUAUAAAAGAUGAUUAUUGGGACAUUUAGAAACCCACUAUGGUAAACAGAAUACCUCCCCACCCCACAAAAAAAGUGCACAAAAAAGAACCUGAGAAUGUUAUCUUUCAUGGCAAAGGGGACUUAACAGGUGUCAUUAAGCUGAAGACCUUGAGAAGGGGAAGUUAUCCUGGCCAGAUGUGAUCACAAGGGUCCUCUUAGUGUACAAGAGAGAAAGAAGAGAUCGUGAUGGAGUGAUGCAGUGUAAGAACAACAUGGCUGGCCACUGCAGACUUGAGAUGUCAAAGGGGACCAUGAGCCCAGAAAUACAGGAGAAUACCAAAACUAAGAGGGCAAGGAAACAGAUCCUCCACCAGCACUCCUGAGAAGGAACAAAGCUGCCAACAACAUGAUCUGCAACCACUAAAUCAAGAUUUCUGACCUCUAUAACUUUAGGAUAACAAAUUUGUUCUGUUUUAAGCCACUAAAUUUGUGAUAAUUUUUAACAGCCACUAUAGGAGAUGAAUACACCCAUCUAGAUGGUAAUAUGUCCCCCCCCCAACACUUUUCUGAAUAUACUGCACUGUCAACUCUUCUUGAGAGGGAAGUUCCAUAAGCCAAAGGAACCUCUGAAUAUACCCCUAAGUUUUCAGAACUACAUUAUGUUCCUCCUUGACCUUUAUGUUAGCACUUAUCUGUAGACACAAAAUCACCAGUAGGUGCAAUAUCUAACACAGGAUGUAUCAACACAAGAGUGGCUAAGUUAAAGGUUAAAGUUUUCUGAAUAAGCUGUUUUUCCCUCUAUUUUGUACUUUUCUCAACUUUCAUACUUUAGUGACUGUGUUUCUUUGGACUCUUUGUAUUACUGAAUAAACAUGUUUGCUAAUAGCUUCGUGAUGGAAACUUGCCCUAAAAUUAUGAAAUGCUAGCUGAUAGAUGAUAGAUAGAUAGAUAGAUGAUAGAUUGAUAGACUAAUAAAGGUGAGUCUGCCUAGCAGGCGGGUUGAAUCAGCUGGCUCACCACCAUUUCUGCAGCCAACAGCAGCCCUUGGCCUUUGCAAUAUCUCUACUUCCCACUCCUCAAGGAGAACCCAUCAUGGAUAGCAUAGUCUGGCAUAUUCUCCCAGAACUUCUACUCAAACAUAGUCAAAAUAGCUGGGAGAGUGAAUUCCAGAACUCUGGACCUGCUGCCAAGAAUCUCUGAAGUACAAAAUAAAUAACUAAGUAUUGUUGGCAGAAAUGCACAUGUAAUUGUAGCUGCCAUAAUGGAAAACUACCUAGAAAAAAUAAAACUCCCCAAGGAAACUUGGUCUCAUCUAUUACAUUAGGAUUUCAUAAACCAACUCAGGCAACACGAAUAAUGAUAUUCUGAGUCAUUUGGAAAAUGAAGAACAGAGGGCAUUUUUGGGCACAGGUUGCUGCCAAUUCAGGGAAUGCCAGGGACCACAAACAGUGGUUGGGAACGCAGUCCCCGUGGAUGACAAAACCUGGCAGUGCUUGGGAGAAGCCUUGGGCCAAAGGCUGGGCCUGGUCAAAACAGCUGUUGGACUUCACCCCAACCUCUGCACCCACCACAAACUCCCUAGAGGACCUGAUAUCUUUACAGUGUCUCUUUGAUGUCCAAGACAAUUCAUGAAGUGACUUGUGUGAGCUUGAAGUUCUCUAUGUUACUUGUUCUGAAAUAUUUCAUUUUUUCUUCACCAUUGAAAAUAGCAAAAUGUACAAAUGCUGAUGGAUUUGCUAAGUUCUUUUAAAUAAUAGAUACAUGACUCUCAUUGCCACUGCCACAGUAUCUUAUCACCUUCCUCCAUGCAGUUUCACUCCCCAUCAAAACUGAAACAAUUUUCUUAAUAACAGCUCUAGAGGAGGGUCACUUCCUCCUUCCAAUACCCUUGAAGGAUCCUCUGAAUCUGUAAUAUGUGACAAACUCCUUAUCCUGGCAUCAUGUGCCUCUGGGAGUUGUCCCUUGUCUUAUCAACCAUAGAGUGCCAUCAUUUUGCUCCAGGUAAAGGCCCACUCUAAUACCACUGUUUCCACUAUUCUCCUUUCUUUCUCAAUCAGAAUUUAUAGUCCCUACCUCUGGACUCCAGUAGCCAACCAGAUAUCUAUAGCAUCACUUUCUAGUAUGGAUUUGGUGCUUAUAGCUCCCUCUCCUUAAUACACUGUCAAUAUAAAGGGCCACUUGUGUUGAAUUCAUGCAUCUUCCACAACACCUAGCACAGCGCUUUGCUCUUGGGCUUAAUUAAAAAAAGAGUUGCCA